rnacentral:rRNA from 1 species
UACGAAGGGGGCUAGCGUUGUUCGGAAUUACUGGGCGUAAAGGGCGCGUAGGCGGCGCAUUAAGUCAGGUGUGAAAGCCCUGGGCUCAACCCAGGAAUUGCACUUGAUACUGAUGUGCUUGAAUCCGGAAGAGGAUGACGGAAUUCCCAGUGUAGAGGUGAAAUUCAUUGAUAUUGGGAAGAACACCAGUGGCGAAGGCGGUCAUCUGGUCCGGUAUUGACGCUGAGGCGCGAAAGCGUGGGGAGCAAAC